UUGCCUGGUCCUCAGGGCCCCAUUGGACUUCCAGGAGAAAAGGGUCCACCAGGAAAACCAGGAAUACCAGGACUGGCUGGAAUGGAUGGACCUCCGGGUCAUCCUGGAAGAGAAGGGCCAGCUGGAGAGAAAGGAACUCAGGGUCCAUCUGGUGCAGCAGGACCAGUUGGUUACCCAGGUCCACGAGGAGUCAAGG